rnacentral:rRNA from 1 species
GACGAACGCUGGCGGCGUGCUUAACACAUGCAAGUCGAACGGAAAGGCCCUGCUUGCAGGGUGCUCGAGUGGCGAACGGGUGAGUAACACGUGGGUGAUCUGCCCCUUACUUUGGGAUAAGCCUGGGAAACUGGGUCUAAUACUGGAUAGGACCAUGCUGUAGGUGGUGUGGUGGAAAGAUUAGUUUCGGUAAGGGAUGAGCUCGCGGCCUAUCAGCUUGUUGGUGGGGUAAUGGCCUACCAAGGCGUCGACGGGUAGCCGGCCUGAGAGGGUGGACGGACACAUUGGGACUGAGAUACGGCCCAGACUCCUACGGGAGGCAGCAGUGGGGAAUAUUGCACAAUGGGCGCAAGCCUGAUGCAGCGACGCCGCGUGGGGGAUGACGGCCUUCGGGUUGUAAACUCCUUUCAGCCAUGACGAAGCCCUUGUGGUGACGGUAGUGGUAGAAGAAGCACCGGCUAACUACGUG